UACGUAGGGACCGAGCGUUGUCCGGAAUCAUUGGGCGUAAAGAGCGUGUAGGCGGCCACUUAAGUCCUGCGUGAAAUCUUGUGGCUCAACCGCAAGCGGUCGUGGGAAACUGGGUGGCUAGAGUGCGGGAGAGGAGAGUGGAAUUCCUGGUGUAGCGGUGGAAUGCGCAGAUAUCAGGAAGAACACCCGUGGCGAAGGCGGCUCUCUGGAACGCAACUGACGCUGAGACGCGAAAGCGUGGGGAGCAAACAGG
rnacentral:rRNA from 1 species